UUACAGGUCCCACAAACCAUAAGCAGUGCAGCACCAAAUGGAUCUGUAAUGAGGGUGCAUCACAAAGACUCUGUCUGUGGAAGGGCAAUCCCAUUGUAGUCAUUCAAGUUACAAGAUUUCCUUAAAAAAAACCAACUUUAUUCAUAAUUUCUACUGUCAGAGAGGACAUUUGCAUAAGGACUUCUGGCUGCAGUUUCAGAUAGAGACAAGGUCACAGAGAUGCCAGUACAGUGUGGGGGCUGCCCACAGCUGCUCUAACAGUGUGCUGCCUGAAUUCAUCCUGUGGCCGUGGGAUACACACAGCAGAACACAGACCUGAAGGCCAUCCUGUAUGUGGCUGUACUUGGCCUAACUAUUGCAUGGAUAACUACAGUCUCAAUGCACAAUGAUCCUUCCAAGGUCCACCUUCCUGCAAUGUGGACGCAUUUAUUCCCAUUAAAGGAACGCCAUUACAGGCGAGAUCGCUGGAGUGAUCUCUGAAGAACAAGAAUGCCCUGACAGAAGUAGAGGGUUUUUUUCCUGCUCCCUUAUAUUUAUUCUCUUCCCCUCCCUCUAUCUAAGCAAGGUGCCCUCAGCUUUUCAUAUAGUUAGGAAUGUGAAGAGGAUAAAACCAAAGCCACACAAAGAGGUGUGCCUCCAAGUGCUUUGCAGUGCUGUGGAGACCACUGCAACUGUGGAGCUCCUUGGUUCCCCGGCGUCCGUCAGGGCCUUGUACAGGGCUGAGCAGCACUGGAGGAAACGUGAGGGCACACCUGAGGGGACACAGGUGCACCCCAGGGCAGAGCAGCGCCGUUAGCGGCGGCCUCCCCUCACACCGCACCAGCUGCUGGGGCAAGCCGGGCAGAACCGAGUCUGGGCUGUGCUGCCGCCGCCGGGAGGUUUCUGCCGCCUCACGUCAGACGUGUGCCACCACAGGCGUUCAGCCGCCGAAGCGAGGCAGCAGCUCACAAAAACACUCAGUUCUGCCCGACUUGCCUUAGGAGCUGCUGCGUUGUGCAGGGAGGCCGCUCCUGGCCUGGGGUGCACCUGUGGUCCUCUCAGGUGUGCCCUCACGUUUCCUCCAGUGCUGCUCAGCCCUGUAUGAGGCCCUGAGGGACACCGGGGAGCUCCGCACCGCCCCCGCCGGUC
rnacentral:lncRNA from 1 species